AGAGUUUGAUCAUGGCUCAGAUUGAACGCUGGCGGCAGGCCUAACACAUGCAAGUCGAGCGGUAGCACAGAGAGCUUGCUCUCGGGUGACGAGCGGCGGACGGGUGAGUAAUGUCUGGGAAACUGCCUGAUGGAGGGGGAUAACUACUGGAAACGGUAGCUAAUACCGCAUAAUGUCGCAAGACCAAAGUGGGGGACCUUCGGGCCUCAUGCCAUCAGAUGUGCCCAGAUGGGAUUAGCUAGUAGGUGGGGUAACGGCUCACCUAGGCGACGAUCCCUAGCUGGUCUGAGAGGAUGACCAGCCACACUGGAACUGAGACACGGUCCAGACUCCUACGGGAGGCAGCAGUGGGGAAUAUUGCACAAUGGGCGCAAGCCUGAUGCAGCCAUGCCGCGUGUGUGAAGAAGGCCUUCGGGUUGUAAAGCACUUUCAGCGGGGAGGAAGGCGAUAAGGUUAAUAACCUUGGCGAUUGACGUUACCCGCAGAAGAAGCACCGGCUAACUCCGUGCCAGCAGCCGCGGUAAUACGGAGGGUGCAAGCGUUAAUCGGAAUUACUGGGCGUAAAGCGCACGCAGGCGGUCUGUCAAGUCGGAUGUGAAAUCCCCGGGCUCAACCUGGGAACUGCAUUCGAAACUGGCAGGCUAGAGUCUUGUAGAGGGGGGUAGAAUUCCAGGUGUAGCGGUGAAAUGCGUAGAGAUCUGGAGGAAUACCGGUGGCGAAGGCGGCCCCCUGGACAAAGACUGACGCUCAGGUGCGAAAGCGUGGGGAGCAAACAGGAUUAGAUACCCUGGUAGUCCACGCCGUAAACGAUGUCGAUUUGGAGGUUGUGCCCUUGAGGCGUGGCUUCCGGAGCUAACGCGUUAAAUCGACCGCCUGGGGAGUACGGCCGCAAGGUUAAAACUCAAAUGAAUUGACGGGGGCCCGCACAAGCGGUGGAGCAUGUGGUUUAAUUCGAUGCAACGCGAAGAACCUUACCUGGUCUUGACAUCCACAGAACUUUCCAGAGAUGGAUUGGUGCCUUCGGGAACUGUGAGACAGGUGCUGCAUGGCUGUCGUCAGCUCGUGUUGUGAAAUGUUGGGUUAAGUCCCGCAACGAGCGCAACCCUUAUCCUUUGUUGCCAGCGGUUCGGCCGGGAACUCAAAGGAGACUGCCAGUGAUAAACUGGAGGAAGGUGGGGAUGACGUCAAGUCAUCAUGGCCCUUACGACCAGGGCUACACACGUGCUACAAUGGCAUAUACAAAGAGAAGCGACCUCGCGAGAGCAAGCGGACCUCAUAAAGUAUGUCGUAGUCCGGAUUGGAGUCUGCAACUCGACUCCAUGAAGUCGGAAUCGCUAGUAAUCGUAGAUCAGAAUGCUACGGUGAAUACGUUCCCGGGCCUUGUACACACCGCCCGUCACACCAUGGGAGUGGGUUGCAAAAGAAGUAGGUAGCUUAACCUUCGGGAGGGCGCUUACCACUUUGUGAUUCAUGACUGGGGUGAAGUCGUAACAAGGUAACCGUAGGGGAACCUGCGGUUG
rnacentral:rRNA from 3 species